rnacentral:rRNA from 1 species
CACGUAGGGUGCGAGCGUUGUCCGGAAUUAUUGGGCGUAAAGAGCUCGUAGGCGGUGUGUCGCGUCGGCCGUGAAAACCUGCAGCUUAACUGUGGGCUUGCGGUCGAUACGGGCAUCACUGGAGUUCGGCAGGGGAGACUGGAAUUCCUGGUGUAGCGGUGAAAUGCGCAGAUAUCAGGAGGAACACCGGUGGCGAAGGCGGGUCUCCGGGCCGAUACUGACGCUGAGAAGCGAAAGCAUGGGGGAGCGAACAGGA